ACAGCAGCAGCCACGGUAAUACGUAGGUGGCAAGCGUUGUCCGGAAUUAUUGGGCGUAAAGCGUGCGUAGGCGGUUCGUUAAGUCUGUUGUGAAAGCCCCGGGCUCAACCUGGGAAUGGCAAUGGAUACUGGCGAGCUAGAGUGUGUCAGAGGACGGUGGAAUUCCCGGUGUAGCGGUGAAAUGCGUAGAGAUCGGGAGGAACAUCAGUGGCGAAGGCGGCCAUCUGGGACAACACUGACGCUGAGGCACGAAAGCGUGGGGAGCAAACAGGAUUAGAUACCCGCGUAGUCCCUGUCUCUUAUAC
rnacentral:rRNA from 1 species